UAACGUGAGCGUCCUAAGGUAGCGCGAUAAUUUGCUUUUCAAUUGAAGGAUGGUAUGAAAGGGUUAACGAAGAAGGUGCUGUGUCUAAAAAUUCAAUUUAAACUAACUUUAAGGUGAAGAGGCCUUUAUGUAAAAGAAGGACGACAAGACCCUAUGAAGCUUUAUCUUAAUUGGAGCUCUCAGGCUCUUAUACGAUUUUGAUGGGAGAUCAGUAGAAAUAAGUCUUCUACUAUCAUAUUAAUCUUACUAGUAUUUCCUAACUUUAUAUGUGUGGCUAGCUACUCUAGGGAUAACAGCGCAAUUUCUCCCGAAAGAUGGUAUUGGAGGGGAAGAUUGCGACCUCGAUGUUGGCUUUAGAUAUCCUAGAGGCGUAGAAGCUUCU
rnacentral:rRNA from 1 species